CGGGGCGUGGCGCAGCCUGGUAGCGCGCCUGCUUUGGGAGCAGGAGGUCGGCGGUUCGAGUCCGCCCGCCCCGA
rnacentral:tRNA from 1 species